UUACGGCCACAUCACAUUAAAAUACUGGUACUCAUACGAUCAACGGAGUUAAACAAAGUUGAGCCUGGCCAGUCCUUAGAUAGGUGACCACUUGGGAAUACCAUGUACUGCAA